rnacentral:rRNA from 1 species
AUUGAACGCUGGCGGCAGGCUUAACACAUGCAAGUCGAGCGAGCGGCGGACGGGUGAGUAAUGUCUGGGAAACUGCCUGAUGGAGGGGGAUAACUACUGGAAACGGUAGCUAAUACCGCAUACCAUCAGAUGUGCCCAGAUGGGAUUAGCUAGUAGGUGAGGUAAUGGCUCACCUAGGCGACGAUCCCUAGCUGGUCUGAGAGGAUGACCGUCCACACUGGAACUGAUAAACGGUCCAGACUCCUACGGGGGGAAGCAGUGGGGAAUAUUGCACAGUGAGCGCAAGCCUGAUGCAGCCAGGCCGCGUGUAUGAAGAAGGCCUUGGGGUUGUAAAGCACUUUCAGCGGGGAGGCGUUACUCGCAGAAGAAGCACCGGCUAACUCCGUGCCAGCAGCCGCGGUAAUUC